AGGCUCACUUUGUGUCAUUCUGGGCCUGAUCCCUAGCUGGUGUAAAUUCUCACAGGUCCAUUCAAUGGCACUAGACCGAUUGGAUUGGGCCUUGGAUUUAUCACUGGAAAGGUCCAGAUCACUGAUGGGUGAGGAGGUUGAAGGGGAUCCUCGCUUUAUCCCUGGCAGGGGCAAAGAACUGCCUUUCUUAUCAUCAUAGGGGGAAGAGGUUUGGGACCAGUUUUGGGCCCCCCACUACAGAAAGGAUGUGGACAAAUCAGAGAGAGUCCAGCGGAGGGCAACAAAAAUUAUUAGGGGGCUGGGGCACAUGACUUAAGAGGAGAGGCUGAGGGAACUGGGAUUGUUUAGUCUGCAGAAGAGAAGAGUGAGGGGGGAUUUGAUAGCAGCCUUCAACUACCUGAAGGGGGGUUCCAAAGAGGAUGGAGCUCGGCUGUUCUCAGUGGUGGCAGAUGACAGAACAAGGAGCAAUGGUCUCAAGUUGCAGUGGGAGAGGUCUAGGUUGGAUAUUAGGAAACACUUUCACUAGGAGCGUGGUGAAGCACUGGAAUGGGUUACCUAGGGAGGUGGUGGAAUCUCCACCCUUAGAGGUUUUUAAGACCCGGCUUGACAAAACCCUGGCUGGGAUGAUUUAGUUGGUGUUGGUCCUGCUUUGAGCAGGGGAUUGGACUAGAUGACCUCCUGAGGUCUCUUCCAACCCUAAUCUAUGAUUCUAGACAUUUCUAUUGUUAAAGGCCUGAUCCUGCAGGCUUGAUUCUGGCAAUUGCUCACUGAUGCAAAAGGGAGUUUUGCCUGAGGAAGGGCUUGUUUUAAAACCCAAGGUAGAGUCUUUUUUAAAUGCCUGCUUCUUGAUUUUAAGUGCUGAAUAGAUGUGGCUCCCUCCGUUAGUCUUUCAAGUAUCCAGACAAGGCAGAGUAUUCAGAGAAACCUUUACUGUUCUGUGAAAUAUAAUGCCGGCUUAUUUUGUAUAGCCAGGGGGUUGUGCCCAGGUGCUGAGGUCAAGACCACCCUCCCUUUCCCAUCUUGCUAAAUAGGAGAGGGUCCAGAAAGUGGAGAGGGAAGUGCUGGCAUAGUAAAGAUUGAGAUCCAAUGACAUUAUGUACACCUUUCUCCUGCACUGUACAGGUCUCAAAUCCUUUACAGAGUUAAAUACCAAAUGAAGGCUUAAAUAAUGAAUAGCAGCAGCGGGAGAAAAAAGAGAAAAAAAAAGCAAGGGGGUGAAGAGAUGUUCUGGCUGAGAAAUCUAUAUAGAAAGAAUUUGAUUUGACACGUGUCAGUUGUGGAUCAUAAUCCUAACAGAAAUAUUGGGAGGAGACUGGCAAGAGAAUACAGAUCAGUUGAUUUUUGGCAUAUACAGUGCUACAGUUCCUAAGCCUAUGGGGUACAAAAGCCAACUCUCUCCUACUCCCGCCAAUCAAAAUGGAUUGUUCUGAAGCUGGAUUGCUUGUGUGAUAAAAGUGUAGGAAGCCGAUGGCUGCAGAGUAAUGCAGAAAUAGCAUAUGAGAGAGAGAAGAAAAGAAUCAAGUCGCAGAGGAGAUAAUCAACAGCAUUAAGGGAAGACGUCUAUAACCUCAGCAGCUGUGUUUAUGCUGCUUUCUGUAAUAGGCAUCAGCCUUCUAUCCCUAGGGAGAUUUUACAGCAUUAAUUUCCUCUGCACAAUUCCUGCCAGCAAGGCUUCUCUUCAGCAGCAACCUUUACCAACCCUCCACCUCCCUCUGCUACUGAGAGAGCGAGAGGGGCCAGUAGGAACUGCACCCCUCCACCUGAUCUUCCUUUGCUCUCUUGGCCCAAUGUCUCCUGUGCCCAAUGAAGCAGAUCCCGAAGUGCCCCGAAUGGACCCAAGGAUUCUGAUUUUCCUUCUCUAUGUGAUGAUCCUCCAUGAGCUGGUCAGUGGCUGGAUGGAGUAUCAGAAACAGGUAACCAAACCUAAGAAGCAAGCGGGUCCAGUCUGGUCCUCUAGCUUCACAAGAUCAAACCACUCUGGCUCCUCCAGGCGUUUGCUGCACUCGGCGCGGAGAGAGCGGUACCGGGAUUGGAGGAAACCGGGGCGAAUCAUCAGGAAGGCAUGAGGAUGCCUCGUGGGUCCUUUCUGAAGCUUGGCAUGGGAUGCUUAUUGAUCCUGAGGCACACAAUCCCUUGUGAAGUCUGCACUGUGAAGGCCACCUACCUGUCAUCUUGCAGUAGCCAGUGUGAAAGCCUCCUCGAGGCACCACAGUCUGCAUCUCUGCCUGACACGUCUCUUCCUGAGACUGACCAAGCUUCUAUUGCUCCAAGAUUGUUGAGUCGGACACAGCUGAAGAGGCAAGAAUAAGCUUCAUCCAGGGAUCGAAGUGCUGUUCCUCAGUGAGGACACACCCAGAAGAGACUCAUCACAGCCAUUGGGUGAGAUCAGCCAGGGGUGGGGUGCCGUUUAUUUUUGUCAUGCUGCAAAGAGAAGAAUGAGCUUGUCCACAUAUUUCGGAAACAUCCAUUAUUGUAGCUUUUGGGGGUGACUCUUCUUUUUCUUACCCAGGGCAAGUGGGUUGCAUUUAACUGGUAUAGAGUGAAAUUCACCCCUCUGUAGAGGGCCAGCACACUAUUUCAGUCCCACUGAAAUUCUAAUUUGAGGACUUAAAUGAUGGACAGGCAAAAUUUUCAAAAGUCAUUGCUGAUUUUUGGGUGCCUAACCUGGGACACUUUAUAGGGGCCCGAUUCCCAGGAAGUGCUGAGCACCGACCCUCUAAAAAUUAGUCUCCUUCACAGUGUCUCAAUUUGGGCAUCUAAAAAUGGCAGGACUCAGAAUUAAUCACUUGGUGAACUGUUGGCCCUCUACACAGGGAUGACUCUCACCUAUAGGGAAAAUAUAACUGUCUCUUUCUUAUACUCACCACUAUGAAAUGUAUCUGAGGCACACAGAUCAAUCUCACUGCAUGGUAUAGCACCAAAUUAGGAAUUAGUCCACCAGCUAAAAUCUAUUAAAAUGAUCUCAUAACCAGCGUAGUUCAGAUGGAUCUGAGCAGCAGUGCCUAAUGUAACAGCAGCUUUUGAAUGAACAGAGAGAUGGUGCUGAAAGAUAACGUUUCUCUUUUAGUGGAGUCUUUCUUUGACAUUAUGGUGUAGGGACAAGUCUCAGUUUUCACAUGCUGCAGUCUCACGGAGCAGAGUCCAAUUAAAAAUGGAAGAGGAUCCGUUACUAUUGGAAGGACUCUCGUAAUAAGCUUCGCACAUCCUCUAAAAACGAAUGGUGGCCUUUGUAGGUAGAGCUGGCUGCCUUAUUUGUUGAACAGAAUAUUCAGCAUGAACGUAGCUCUUUUUCUGUUUGCACCUCUUCAUCCAUCUGAUUCCUGCUCUUGGAUUCAUUACAUGGAAGGCUUCGCCGAAUACAUUUGAACAUAUGUGGUGUUGGUUUUUUAAAUUGUUCGCUUUGGCUAUCGUGGUGUGUGAUUGGCCCCUUAAGCCUCACAGGGUUGUGUCUGCUCCCUGAUUGCGUGAUUUGAAUUUUUUAACUUAGAGGAUCCAACCAAUAAGUAGCAAAUAACUCACUUUCUGGUACUGAAUUUCAAUGAAUAACCAUUCUUCCAAAGGCUGUGGUACUCUUAGAAUUUGAGGACAUUUUCAGAAAUUCCCCGUGAGUCAUGAAUAAUAAAUAACAGAACCCCUGAAGAGCAGCAGACCAAACACAGUGUGCUUUAGUAGGGGAAUUAUUAGUGAACCCCUUUUUUUCAAUUAUCCAGUCAGCUCUAGUUCUGUGGGAGAAACAUACAAUUGGAUUGUUUUUCCUUGCUGUGCGUGGUCUGCUGGCCCCUCUCUUGUCUUUCUAGUCUUAACAUGAAUUUGAUUAAGAGCAAUUAUAUAUAAAAGGUGGUUUUGCUUAAUUGUUUGCGCAAUGCAUGAUGGGGUUGGUCCUGGUUAUAAAAGCCAAGAACCUGCCCUCAGCUGAAGCCAGCAGUCCUGGAAGCUACUAAGGGUGAUGCAGUCGGACUGUCCUGAUAACUGCUUUGUUAAGGAAACAUUAAUGGGUGUGAAUACCUGGUUAUGUUGACCAUACGGUCGGUUUAUAUUCUGUGUUUACUUUUUCUGUAGAUCUUCAAAUAAACUGAUUUACAUGUAAAACAUUCA